CUCUCCUCUCCUCUCCGCCGCAUCCCUCUUCUAUCUCUCUCUCGAACUCUCUUUCUCUCUCUCCGCCUUCCUCUGCCAGCGCCGGAAACGGUAGCUCAGGCUGCCGUCUCACCAGACCACCACCCCCACCAAUCGAUUCUCUGCUCAAAACUAAGCCGUAACUAACCCAAUCAACGACAUGCGACCAUCCCAGCAUUCAUUCUCAAUCCCUAGAGUCGAUCGGGUUGAUCUCCGGCCACCUCCUCAGUCCACCGCUACCAUCGUUCUACUUAGCUAGUGUUGAUGAGCAAAACCCAGAAGCCUUAAAGCCCAUCGACACCGUACGGGUCCUAACCAGAAACUCUAGGUUCUGGUACUUUUGCUUCGACAUCUCCGGCCAUCUUCGACCUCAAGAACUCCAUGGUUGAGUUCAGGAGCUCGUAUCCCAAAGCCCUCAAUCCCCGAUCGUCGGCUCGGUCCAGAUGCUUCUCACGCGUUUCACGCGCCGGCUGCCAACAUAUGUUGAAUCUCCAUAUAUUCCCUCUAGUUUGAGGUGUUCGGUAUUCGUGAUUUUUGGAGUUGAGGAAGCUGAGUUUGGGAAGCCUGAAGAGAGGGAAGGCAGUUGGGGCAGCUUCACUAAUUUGGUUUGAGGGAUUCGGGAAAUUACAGGAGAGCAUUUACAGCUACAAGUAAUUGGCUUUUGAUUUGGAAAGAAGAUUGGCAAGGACCUUGGUCUUUGGGCAGUGGAAGUGUUGUUUUAUUCCCAGUAAAGUUUGAUAAGGUAGUUAGCAAUUGACUGGAUAUAAGACUGAGUUAGUGUUGUUAACGUGCUUAUAAGUAAGGUGAUUUUACCUUGGUUAUUGUCAAUUGUGAAAGUGCUCAACUUUGUUGAUUUGGUGAAUGUGGAAUUGUCUUGUAAAAGAAAAGCUCUAUUGUGAAAUAAUGUGAGUACGAAGUGGAAUGGAGAUUGGCAGUGGAGAUGGUAAACUUAGUAAGAUUAG